rnacentral:piRNA from 1 species
UUUCAUUUGGGCAUGAGCCUUGAAGGUAGA